UCACACUCCACUAGCUUAACCACACCGCCGACACUCAUCUGAUCACCCACUAGCUAGCUAGCAGCUUAAGGAACUUCCAGCUAGCGAUCGAUGGCUCGUCUCAACAGCAAGGCUGUGGUGUCCGCCGUGGUCCUGGCGGCGGUGGUGCUAAUGAUGGCCGGCAGGGAGGCGACGGCACUGUCGUGCGGGCAGGUGGACUCCAAGCUCGCGCCGUGCGUGUCGUACGUGACGGGGAAGGCGCCCUCGAUCAGCAAGGAGUGCUGCUCCGGUGUGCAGGGGCUGAACGGCCUGGCCCGCAGCAGCCCGGACCGCAAGAUAGCGUGCAGGUGCCUCAAGAGCCUCGCCACCAGCAUCAAGUCCAUCAACAUGGACAAGGUCUCCGGCGUGCCCGGCAAGUGCGGCGUCAGCGUGCCCUUCCCCAUCAGCAUGUCCACCAACUGCAACAAUGUCAACUAGUUCAAUAUAUAACCCUUCCGACGUGCAUGCAAGGACGCGCUUGUGUGGAGCUUAAUGUCUACGUUGAUGGAGUGCUCAUACGAUACUGAGCUACUAAAUAAUAAAAUGAAGUUGCUUGCGUGUGUUAUUUCAGUACUGUGUCACUGUGUGUCUGUGUCCAUGUCUGUACCUUGCGCACACACUGUGUGUGCAUAUAUAUUUAUGCGACAUGUAUGCAUGCGUCCGUAUGCGUGAGUGAACUGUCAACUCUUUGCUGUACUCUAGUGUAGCCGAUGUGUACGUGUGAUGUGCCUGACCUACUUGUUCAGGCAAUUAAUGAAUAGUAAUUAUUUUCCUAAUUAUUGACGUGCAUGGAUGUCCAGCUAUUGCACUAUCCAGCAGUAUGAUGGAGCAUUGUGCACUAUACGGAUGUUUUGAGCCAGAAGAUGCAUGCGUGCAAUACGCGCCGUGGCCACUUUUGUGUCCCAAAU
rnacentral:rRNA from 1 species